UAAUACGUAGGGGGCAAGCGUUAUCCGGAAUCACUGGGUGUAAAGGGUGAGUAGGCGGCAAGGUAAGUCAUAUGUGAAAGCCCGGUGCUCAACAUCGGGACUGCAUAAGAAACUAUCUAGCUAGAGUACAGGAGAGGUAAGUGGAAUUCCUAGUGUAGCGGUGAAAUGCGUAGAUAUUAGGAAGAACACCAGUGGCGAAGGCGACUUACUGGACUGAAACUGACGCUGAGUCACGAAAGCGUGGGGAGCGAACAGGAUUAGAUACCCUGGUAGUCCACGCUGUAAACGAUGAGUGCUAGGUGUCGGGUAGAGAUAUUCGGUGCCGCAGCUAACGCAAUAAGCACUCCACCUGGGGAGUACGAUCGCAAGAUUG
rnacentral:rRNA from 1 species